rnacentral:rRNA from 1 species
GUCCCAUUCCGAACCCGGAAGUGAAACAUCGUUGCGCCGAUGGUAGUGGGGCGAUAGGCCCUGUGAGAGUAGGUCGUUGCCAGGU